AUGAUGGAGGCGGCCGCGGCGACGAUGCUGGAGGCCGGAGUGGGGCGGUUCCGGGGGCCGAGCCUCGCGGCGCUGCUUGCGGAGAUGUGGGCGCCGCUGGCCGUGGCGCUGGCGGCGCUCGCGACGCUGCCCAGCCUGCUCGGCAGGCUGCAGGUGCUCAUCCUCCGCCUCCGCUCCCGCGGGAAGGAGGUCAUCUCCUCGCACAUCUCCACCUACUACUCCUCCGGCGACGACGAGUCGGACUCCGACGGCGAGGGCGAGGACGAGGACGAGAGCUCCGAUGAGGCGGCCACCAGCUCGUCCGGCGAGGAGGAGGAGGCCGUGAGGAGGAUCGGGUACUUCGAGGGCGCCGCCGACGGCCUCGACGGCUGCUUCCCGUGGGGCGGCGCCGUCGUGCGGACGUGGCAGGACCUGCCGCGGCGGUUCUCCGCCGUCGGCUGCGGGGGAGGAGCCAGGUUCCCUUCCGGAGGGCGUGUCCAGGCGGUGAGGCUGUGGGGCGCCAGCACGGCGAGCGGGGAGGGAAGUGGCCAGGCGUGGUGGGACGCCGAUGACAGCGGCCGUGGGGCGGCCGCAGAGGCGGCGCCGGUGGUCCUCGGGUGGCGGCGCGAGCACGCGAUGCGGAGGCGGCAGCGGCCCCUCCGCAUCCUGCCCUCGGAGCAGUAA
rnacentral:rRNA from 1 species